GCGCGCGCAUGCGUAGCACCCGUAGAGUGGCGCUUACGUCAGUCCACCUCUGGCUCUCGUUGGGAGAAGACGUGCGGUCGUUCGCUCCGUCGUCACUUGAUCCCUGGCUGUCGACGAGAGCAGUCGCAUCGGUCUGCGCUCCUACUGUGAGCUGUCCUAACUUGCCCAGACAUGCCGUGAUGACGUCACAGCUGACGUCACAGGAUGUCCGGAACUGGUGGUCAUAGCUGCGAUGCUUUGCAACCUGCUUCUGUGCUCCGUCACCCAGCGACGGUCAGCGGCCUUUCCGGACCGCUUUCUUCAAGAUGGCGCCGUUGAUCUUCAAUUAAACUCCUUCUCUCCACUCUA